CAGCAUGAUCGGUGAAUGCCACGCACCUGUGCUGACUCUUGGGCUGAGCAUAUGGCCCGAUUCAUAAUGACUGUGACUCUGCGUGGAGUCACCCUGGAAACGUCCCUUAAUCGAGAGCUCUACAGAAAAAUUAUCUAUUCACUUCCGCCUCUUCAAAGAUUGAUGAAAGGGUUGAUAUCAGUGACCAACUGUCAACAGACUGCACUGCAAUUAUGUCUGAUAACACUGAGAACUGCCACUCCAACUUCUGCCAUGAUACAACCAAAAGUGAACAAAAUUGACCAAUCAAAUCCCCAUCCAUGAUACUCAGAGAUUCAAAGUGUAGGCACAGGAUUAAGCUGGUGGACGAACAAGAGCCUGCUGGAAAAAUUGUCUCCUGAUUUGCAAUCAUGCUCUUGCCACUGAAUAACAAACAGGAUGGGUGGACUAUUUUUUUUUGCCAUGAUGCUAAUGAGGAUGCUCGUCCGUGCAGAUGUGUGAGUGUGUGUCCAUGUCCAACAAAUGUACCUUCAUGCCUUAUCACUAAUGAAGGUGUCACAGUGUCAGUUCAUAUGUCUAUGUGUGUUAACC